rnacentral:rRNA from 1 species
AUUGAACGCUGGCGGCAUGCCUUACACAUGCAAGUCGAACGGCAGCACGGGAGCAAUCCUGGUGGCGAGUGGCGAACGGGUGAGUAAUGUAUCGGAACGUGCCCAGUCGUGGGGGAUAACGUAGCGAAAGCUACGCUAAUACCGCAUACGAUCUAUGGAUGAAAGCGGGGGAUCGCAAGACCUCGCGCGAUUGGAGCGGCCGAUAUCAGAUAGGUAGUUGGUGGGGUAAAGGCUCACCAAGCCGACGAUCUGUAGCUGGUCUGAGAGGACGAACAGCCACACUGGGACUGAGACACGGCCCAGACUCCUACGGGAGGCAGCAGUGGGGAAUUUUGGACAAUGGGCGCAAGCCUGAUCCAGCAAUGCCGCGUGCAGGAUGAAGGCCUUCGGGUUGUAAACUGCUUUUGUACGGAACGAAACGGUGAGCUCUAAUACAGUUUGCUAAUGACGGUACCGUAAGAAUAAGCACCGGCUAACUACGUGCCAGCCGCCGCCGUAA